UCCUACGGGGGGCAGCAGUGAGGAAUAUUGGUCAAUGGGCGCGAGCCUGAACCAGCCAAGUCGCGUGAGGGAAGACGGUCCUAUGGAUUGUAAACCUCUUUUGUCGGGGAGCAAAAGAUGCCACGUGUGGCGUUCCGAGAGUACCCGAAGAAAAAGCAUCGGCUAACUCCGUGCCAGCAGCCGCGGUAAUACGGAGGAUGCGAGCGUUAUCCGGAUUUAUUGGGUUUAAAGGGUGCGCAGGCGGAAGAUCAAGUCAGCGGUAAAAUUGAG
rnacentral:rRNA from 1 species